UACGGGGGGGGCAAGCGUUGUUCGGAAUUACUGGGCGUAAAGGGCUCGUAGGUGGCCAACUAAGUCAGACGUGAAAUCCCUCGGCUUAACCGGGGAACUGCGUCUGAUACUGGAUGGCUUGAGUUCGGGAGAGGGAUGCGGAAUUCCAGGUGUAGCGGUGAAAUGCGUAGAUAUCUGGAGGAAUACCGGUGGCGAAGGCGGCAUCCUGGACCGACAUUGACGCUGAGGAGCGAAAGCUAGGGGAGCAAACGGGG
rnacentral:rRNA from 1 species